AUUGAACGCUGGCGGCAGGCCUAACACAUGCAAGUCGAGCGAGCGGCGGACGGGUGAGUAAUGUAUGGGGACUGCCCGAUAGAGGGGGAUAACUACUGGAAACGGUAGCUAAUACCGCAUACUAUCGGAUCACCCAUUUGGGAUUAGCUAGUUGGUGAGGUAAAGGCUGAACAAGGCGACGAUCCCUAGCUGGGCUGAGAGGAUGAUCAGCCACACUGGCACUGAGACACGGCCCAGACUCCUACGGAGGCAGCAGUGGGGAAUAUUGCACAAUGGGCGCAAGCCUGAUGCAGCCAUGCCGCGUGAAUGAAGAAGGCCCUAGGGGUGUAAAGUACUUUCAGUCGGGAGGCGUUACCGACAGAAGAAGCAACGGCUAACUCCGUGCCAGCAGCCGCGGUAAUUC
rnacentral:rRNA from 1 species